UGUGAUCCAAUUAUAUUCAUAAAGCUCAUGAUACAUCAAGAUCCUGUCAAAUCAAGAACAUGACGGAGAGAUCAAACACACAACUACUCGUAGAAACCCUCAACCCCAAGGAUGAACUAUUCACACAUCACCCUCGAGGCAACAAGGAUGAUUAAGGUGGCCUCUGUGAUGGCUUCCCCCUCCGUCAGGGUGCUAGAAAAGGGCUCCCGAUGGGAUCGCUUCGGUACAUAGGCUUCGGCGGAGUAAAAUUCCUAGGUUUCUUUCUGAGGGUUCCUCACUUUAUAGGAUUUUUGAACAUUGGAAUCAUGCCAAAUGGAGUUAUAAGGGACCCACAAGCUCAGGUUGCACUCAUGGCCCCAAAGGACGUGCCAUGUGAGCUUGUGGCAUCCUUGUGGGUCUUCUAGUCCUUCCCUGAAGCUUCGUGGGUCUUUUAUGCUCCAAAAAACACUAUAAUUUUUUAUCACGUUUGGACUUAGCUUUGUAUGGUUUUUCUGUGAAACAAAGAAACGGACAAAAUACAAAAACUAGCAUUGGGCAUUAGAUUAGUAUGCAGUUAAUAAAAAUAUUAUAGAAGUAUAUCAAAACCAUGUAGAACUUAUGCAAAUAGAGCAUGGAUACUUCAUAAAGUAUAGAUAUAUUGGAGACAUACCGAUUGAUAACAUGACUAAAUGUGUUUCUAUUGGCUAUAUGUAGCAAAUAUGUUAUCCUAGAGAGCAUUCUUGAAAGAACACAACAUAUGAGCCCCGACUAUUAAACCUCACAGUCUAUGAGACUUGGAUGUACUCUAGUAAGCUUAUGAAGAGACCAGGGAGGAUGAUGUAUAUGCUCCACCUGCAUGGUAGGCUACUGGCAGCUAGGUGUUGGUCGUGACUUUGAGUGAAACUUGUUCGUAAAAAACUUGCAAUUUAAGGUAUAGUUCAUUGUCAAGUAGUGAAUGGAUGUAGCUUAAAAUGGUAGCUAGAAGUUCAACUUACCAGCCUUUGUUGAAACGUUAGUAUAUUAAACAAGUGGCAAAAUCAGGAAAAUAUCUACAUAGACACUUGAGAUCUGGUGGGAAGUUGUUGGAAGUAAUGUGCUUGACCAUGUACAUUUUAUGAAAUUCCUAAAUUAAAUCUCAAAGGCUCAUGUGGAAAUGGUAAGUGAAGGUGGUCUCUUUAGUUUUACCCAAAAAUGAAGGAGGUGUGGGAUCAACUUAAAUAGUGAAGUCUCACCAUACCAUGACUCGUUCUUCUGCUUGCUUCCAGAACAACCUGGAAUAAGGUGCCCCUACACAACUUAUUCUAAAA
rnacentral:lncRNA from 1 species